UACGUAGGGUGCAAGCGUUAAUCGGAAUUACUGGGCGUAAAGCGUGCGCAGGCGGUUAUGUAAGACCGAUGUGAAAUGCCCGGGCUUAACCUGGGAACUGCAUUUGUGACUGCAUGGCUAGAGUUUGGCAGAGGGGGGUAGAAUUCCACGUGUAGCAGUGAAAUGCGUAGAGAUGCGGAGGAACACCGAUGGCGAAGGCAGCCCCCUGGGCUAGCACUGACGCUCAGGCACGAAAGCGUGGGGAGCAAACAGG
rnacentral:rRNA from 1 species